rnacentral:lncRNA from 1 species
GUUCAUUAUCUCGUUAAAGCCUUAAAAUAACACUAAUAGUCACUUGCUUAAAGCCAUCCAGCUAAUAUAUGAAAUAGCCAGGAUUAAAAUCCUGGUCUACCCGACUCUCAAGUCAGGAAUCUUGUCCAGUCAGUUAGUCCACCCUCCCCAUUUCUGUAGUGAGAAUACUUAAACCCUCCAAAAUUAUAUGAUUUGUCCAAGAUCAUACACCUAGAAAGAGGCGGAGCCAGAACAAAAAUCUACAUCCCCUACUCUCAAGGGUCAGCAAUUCAAGCGGGAAAUGCAAUGAGCAUUUAAGCCUGCUCGUCUGCCCUUCCGAGAAAUAAAUAUGGAGAUACCCAGUGAAUGUCCCUGCCUUCUGACAGCACUCAAUCCAGAGAGAACCCUGCUUCCUUGGACCCUCCCACAAAUCAUCCAACCGCAGCCCAAAUCCUACAAUAGGUCCUUUCUAACACCCUCUUGCUGAGGCGCCCCCGUUCCCCAUGGUGUGCAUUCUCC